rnacentral:tRNA from 10 species
UCCAACGUAGCUCAGUGGUAGAGCUAUCGGCUGUUAACCGAUCGGUCGCAGGUUCGAAUCCUGCCGUUGGAGCCA